UAAAGUACUUUGGGCAGAGAAGAAAAGCCAUCCCCUAAUACGGGAUGCUGCUGACGGUAUCUGCAGAAUAAGCACCGGCUAACUACGUGCCAGGCAGGCGCGGUAAAUACGUAGGGUGCAAGCGUUAAUCGGAAUUUACUGGGCGUAAAGCGUGUGUAGGCCGGUUCGGAAAGAAAGAUGUGAUAUCCCAGGGCUCAACCUUGGAACUGCAUUUUUAACUGCCGAGCUAGAGUAUGUCAGAGGGGGGUAGAAUUUCCACGUGUAGCAGUGAUAUGCGUAGAUAUGUGGAGGAAUACCGAUGGCGAAGGCAGCCCCCUGGGAUAAUACUGACGCUCAGACACGAAAGCGUGGGGAGCAAACAGGAUUAGAUACCCUGGUAGUCCACGCCCUAAACGAUGUCAACUAGCUGUUGGGGCCGUUAGGCCUUAGUAGCGCAGCUAACGCGUGAAGUUGACCGCCUGGGGAGUACGGUCGCAAGAUUAAAACUCAAAGGAAUUGACGGGGACCCGCACAAGCGGUGGAUGAUGUGGAUUAAUUCGAUGCAACGCGAAAAACCUUACCUACCCUUGACAUGUCUGGAAUGCCGAAGAGAUUUGGCAGUGCUCGCAAGAGAACCGGAACACAGGUGCUGCAUGGCUGUCGUCAGCUCGUGUCGUGAGAUGUUGGGUUAAGUCCCGCAACGAGCGCAACCCUUGUCAUUAGUUGCUACGCAAGAGCACUCUAAUGAGACUGCCGGUGACAAACCGGAGGAAGGUGGGGAUGACGUCAAGUCCUCAUGGCCCUUAUGGGUAGGGCUUCACACGUCAUACAAUGGUCGGGACAGAGGGUCGCCAACCCGCGAGGGGGAGCCAAUCUCAGAAACCCGAUCGUAGUCCGGAUCGCAGUCUGCAACUCGACUGCGUGAAGUCGGAAUCGCUAGUAAUCG
rnacentral:rRNA from 1 species